AACGAACGUUAGCGGCGCGCCUAACACAUGCAAGUCGAGCGAGAAGGAAGUAAUUCCUGUAAAGCGGCGCACGGGUGAGUAACACGUAGGUAAUCUGCCUCGAGGUGGUGGAUAACCUUCCGAAAGGAGGGCUAAUACAGCAUGAGACCACGUCUUCGAAAGAGGAUGAGGUUAAAGCGGGCCUCUAUACAUAAGCUCGC
rnacentral:rRNA from 1 species